GAUGAACGCUAGCUACAGGCUUAACACAUGCAAGUCGAGGGGCAGCGGGAUUGAAGCUUGCUUCAAUUGCCGGCGACCGGCGCACGGGUGAGUAACGCGUAUCCAACCUUCCGUACACUCAGGGAUAGCCUUUCGAAAGAAAGAUUAAUACCUGAUGGUAUCUUAAGCACACAUGUAAUUAAGAUUAAAGAUUUAUCGGUGUACGAUGGGGAUGCGUUCCAUUAGGUAGUAGGCGGGGUAACGGCCCACCUAGCCUACGAUGGAUAGGGGUUCUGAGAGGAAGGUCCCCCACAUUGGAACUGAGACACGGUCCAAACUCCUACGGGAGGCAGCAGUGAGGAAUAUUGGUCAAUGGACGAGAGUCUGAACCAGCCAAGUAGCGUGAAGGAUGAAGGUCCUACGGAUUGUAAACUUCUUUAUAAGGGAAUAAAACCUCCCACGUGUGGGAGCUUGUAUGUACCUUAUGAAUAAGCAUCGGCUAACUCCGUG
rnacentral:rRNA from 1 species